rnacentral:misc_RNA from 1 species
CGGUGGAACGGGGAAUAUGGCGUCGGUCUCGGCCGAGACUCCAGCCAGCCAUGGGCACAGCUUCAGUAAGAAAACGUUUCACAAGCCGACGUACUGCCAUAGCUGCACGGACAUGCUCUGGGGCCUCAUACAGCAGGGGUACAUCUGCGAAGUGUGUAACUUCGUGGUGCACGACCGCUGUCUCAAGGCCGUCGUCUCUCCCUGCUCCAGCAUCGCGGCAAACCUGAUUAAGAAUCCGGUUGCACAUUGUUGGUCCGGACAAGUACAUCGUAAAAGAAAAUUCUGCAACGUCUGUCGGAAACGAUUGGAUGACAAUCUGUCCAUACACUGCGAAAUAUGCGAGUACUUCGUGCACAUAGAAUGCCAAGACUUCGCGGUGGCAGAUUGCAAGGAAAAUGCCACAUACCUACCUGGUAAGGAUCUGUCAGCAGUGAAGCACACUCAUCAUUGGCGAGAAGGCAAUCUUCCGAGCAGCUCGAAAUGCGCUGUAUGCAAGAAGAGUUGUUUUACUGCUGAGUGCCUUGGCGGGUUUCGUUGCGAGUGGUGCGGCAUGACGUUGCACGCGUAUUGUUACAAGAAUAUUCCUCAAGAAUGCACUUUUGGUAACUUGGAACCAAUUUACCUGCCGCCACAUGCAGUUAGUAUUCCGCGUACCGAAGUUCCCAUGGAAGCCAUUAUCGGAGUAGAAGUGCGUCGUAGAGAAGUGCUGGCGCGUGAGUAUUCUUGCCAUAACAUCGGAGAGCGAUUCGAUUUCGCUGAGAGUGAACAAAAUGGGGCUGCAGGCCGCCUAGCCGAAGCUUUGAGGCGCCUUUCGCUAGUUUUGCCACGUAGCUGCCAUGGAAAUUGUCAUGCUUCCCCUCCUUAUGUUCGAGUGCAUGCACUGUCAUUCAGCCCACUGGAUGCUAUGAGAUUCCAUGAUGCUUAUCACUCUACUAUGCAGUGAAAUGAAGUUCAAGAAUACUACUGACUAAUUCUUCCUAUCGUGUCUGUGUUCUACAAAUCCAUCGUAAAUAAUCGAUGCGCGAAGCAUAUCAGAGGAAUUUGGUAGCGAUUCAAGGUAUCGUGACAAUGGAGAACCGGCAC